GUUUAUUUUCAGGUAAAGCAGAGCGUGAGGUGAGUAAUGGCAGAUGAUAAAGUCGAUGAGCCGAUGAACUGGAACUGAUACUUGUCUGUGUGUUCUAGGAAGCAUGGAUGCCGGGAGACGUGGAACAGAUGAACACACAGGAGACGAGGAGACACAAGGGAUCACAGGAGACGCUGGAGACAGGUAAGUAGUCGAGUCAAGGGAGUCCUGGAGGUAAGUACACACUGGUAUGUGUCAACGAGACCGGACAGUGACUGAGUGAACUAGCGUGUCUUUUAUGUGGCUGUGGUGAUGAGUGUGAAUGAGUGUCGGGUGUAUCUUGUCAGUACUCAGGAGAGGGAGUGCGAUGUGAUUGGGUGAGUGUAGAGCCUGGCGUGUCUGUGACAUAUAACACUGUUUAAAGAAAUAUAUUUCAUGAGUUGUGAAAACUGCUACAUUCCUCCAAAGCACAAGAGUAGAUGAUUUAAAUAGAGAGAGUCACUUUGCAUUGUCACACAUGCUUCAGUGCUCUGAGAGUGUUUAUAGUGCUGUGAGUUUAACACUUCAUGACUGAGAGCAGAACAGAACACAAUCUUCAUCAUCACACAAGACAAAAGAACAACAAUGAACAAAAUCACCUUCUUCAUCUGGACUCUCACACUGUUUGCUCAAGAGUGUAGAGGACAGAUCACUGUAACUCAGAGUCCAUCAAUAACAGCAGUUCAACCAGGACAAGAAGUCAGAAUAAACUGUAAAACUAGCAGUGCAGUAUAUAAUGGUAAUUGUUUAGCCUGGUACUUACAGAAACCUGGAGAAGCUCCUAUACUCCUCAUAUAUUAUGCAACAAGCCGUUAUACUGGAACUCCAUCUAGAUUCAGUGGCAGUGGAUCUGGCAGUGAUUUCACUCUGACCAUCAGUGGAGUCCAGACUGAAGAUACAGGAGAUUAUUACUGUCAGAGUCUACACUAUCCAAACAGUAAACAUGUGUUCACACAGUGAUAAAGAGUGGUACAAAAACCUCGGUCAGUCAGACGUCACAGUGAUGCACUGAUACAGCUGAGAGAUACUGCAGCUGCUGAUGGAGGAUCACAAACAACACAAUGUUGUAUCAAACCUUUCAGAAACAUUAUUUAUUUAUUUAUUUAUUUAUUUAUUUUGAUGUACUAAGCAGGUAACAUCAUCUUUAUAUUAUAUAAAUGUUAGUGGUGUUUGGCCCUGCAAAAUUUUGCCACAACAAUGUAAUCUAACAGCAGGAAAGUCCGUCACUUUAACUGCACUUCCAUGCUUCAUCACUAGAUGGCGUGUCUGUUACAUAACUGAGUUCUCUAUCUGUCAGUCACUUUGACGUUGUGUCGAUGUGAUGACACUAGUGUAGUGUUUCUCAACCUUUUUUACUCGAUGGCCUCCUCCUUCACCAGAUCAAUACUGCAGUGCCCCCCUAAGAUGCCUGACAUUUCCUCUUAUACUGUACUUCCACAGCAAAGAGAGAAAAGUGUUUGUAUUUAAGCCUUUUUAUUAACAAAACAUUUGUUUGGAUUAUUACUCUUCUACUGCAUGUUUUUUAAUAUUCUUUUUGAAAACAUUUACAACUUAUAAUUUAUAGCUUUAUAACUUAAAGAAAAUAACUUAAAGAAAUCUGAAAAGAAACCUCUGCUAAAUUACAAUACUCUGAUGUUAUCCAGGUCGAGUGAUUGCAUCUGUGCCAACAGAAAGAUUGAGACUCCCAUCUAAAGCCUGUCGGUUCACGUCGUCCCUGAUAACAAGAACUUAAUGCUGUUGGACAGGCUGUCUCUGCUGUACAUGCCACGGACAUGAACGAGGAUAGUCCCGACCCAGCACACAUGCAGGAACUAUGCUCGUUUACUGAUUUAUUAAUAAUUAAUAAUCAUAAAUAAUUAAUAAUCAUAAACUGUGAGGUAAGAUUAGUUUACACACAUCAGAAGGCCUACUCUCUCAUCCCUGCAUAGAAAGACACAUGUGCAAAUGAGAUGCUAAAAUUCAAUGGUUAAAAGCAGCACUUUAAAGGAAAAUUCACUAAUCACUGAUGCACAUUAUGACAGAAACCCUUAACAAUGUUCUAACAUCAUAAAUACAGCGAUUAUGAUAUAAAGAGACAGUAAAGCAAAUACAGGAUAAAUGUGAAACAGCAAAACGACCGCUGCUUCCCCGUCGACAUACAGCAUGAGCGCAAAUGCUUAAAGGGGAAACAAUAAAUCUUCCUAUGGUGUCCCAGUAAUUGUUCCUGAUUAAACCACUGAAAAUAGAACAUUACAUACAAGUUUUGCUGAAGUUAACUCAAUUAUAGAAUUGUUUCUUUAUUCCUCUAUGGCAUGGUGUCACCCUCAGGAAACAUAAAACGUUUUUGGACUUCACACCGGAUCUAUAUAUGACACGUCUGUUCAAUGAAAUGAGGGGCUGAAGUGGGUGCAGCCUUUUCUGUUUAUCCACAUUUCAUGAUGGAUAUAUUAUCAGGGACCCCCAAGGGUUAAAUAAAAACAAACAAAACAAGCCCUAUAAUUUAAUAAAAUGACACAUAUUAUGAAGACACUUCAUAUUUAAUGGUAUUAGAUGAUUUGAUAGUUGCAUUUAAUAGAUUACAACUUCAAUAAAACAUUUGCAUUUUGUUUGUAACAUUGUAUCUGGAAUGGUAAAACAUGUCGACUUAUCUUAAGUGUCUGAAUUUCUGAUGAACUCUUAUAGCGCUGCAGGACUAGCCUUCAGCAAACACUGAACCAGACUAUUAAAUGUUGAGCAAGGGAUCUCAUUGGCUGCAGGAUCAGCAGAGACCAAUCAGCCUGAGUCAUUUGGUAUUGAUGUGAUUGCUUACAGACUGCAUGUAAAGGACCGAUCGAAGCCUGUGCCAUCUUCAGUUUCAUGACUGAACUAGAUUUCUGACAUGACAAUUCUUGGAGAGUUUGUCAUGGUAAUGAAUAUGACAAUGUUAAUGUGUUUGGUCUGCUGCUGUUAAUUAUAUAUGCUGUAGAGUACAGAACUUUCCACUGCCAAAACACACACAACAUGCUGCUGCUGUACGAGCAAACAUGAAUCACCCCAUAGCAGAUCUGGACAGGUGGAGCUGGGGGAGGUGGAGGGUUUCUGAAAGUACACUGCACUGCUACAGCAAACAAUAGACAAGUGUUUGAAUGUUGAGCAGCAAGAUCAUUGACUACUGAUACAGCAGGAAUCAUUCAGUUGUGUCCUGUAGAGAAUGAUGUGUAAAUGUGUAUGUCUGACUCUGUAUAUUUACUGUUACUGUGCUUUGGCGAUGUAAAGCCUUUCUUUUAACCCUGUCAGUAAAACUAUUGGACUCUGAAUGUAUAUCGUCCUGAUCUCUCUUCUGUCUUUUGCAUUCAGAGGGUGUUUUACAUGAGUGGCACAUGCUUCACUGCUCUGAAUGUGUUUAUAGCUCUAUGAACUGAACAUGACAUGAUCAAGAGCUCUUCUUCAUCAACCAACAAACAUGACUUUCAGCUGCAGCUGCUCAUAAACACAAUCACACACAACACUGAUCACAGACAAACACUAAUAACACUAGAUCAUCUAAAUCAACAUCAAUCUUGUGUUUAUGAAGAGAAUGAGUCAGUGUUUAAUAUCAUCAUCAUGUUUUAGGUGUAAUAUAUGAUCCCUGUCAAUCAAACUGAACAGACUGAAUUCAGUCACUUCUGCUGUCUGGACGUGAUGCUUUCCAUUUGAUUUUCAUGACAUUUUCAUAUAUAUUUUCAUCACCACAUUUUCAGCAGAAGUGAAACUGGUGUGGUCCAGUCCAGAUCAUGUGACCAAUCAAACAGUGAGACUGAAAAGCCCAUUUGCAUUGUCAGGGUGGAGUGAUUGUGAUCCUCUCAGAAUAGAGCAGCUCUGUCUCCAGAGACCAUGUUCAAACCCCAAGAGCUUUAUUUGACAUUUACAUCAAGCUUGUGAAAAGCACCUGCAUCUUCAUCUGUUAGUUGAAUGAUGUUGUCAGACACAAAGUGAACUUGUUGAGAAGCUUUAUUGAAUGUUACAGCAGAUUGAAAGAUCACACAGUGCUUUGACACGCCAGCUCUCUUUCAGUAUUGAGUUGUAAAUCACUACAGCUGCAGCACUAGACUCAUGUGAAUCCUGCCUGACACAGGACACUCAGAUACGGCUCAUCUUCAGGAGAGAAACAUCAGCACUCAGAGCUCUUGUGGAACGAGACCUCAUGAGGAGCUCCAUCAUGUGUUACUCUGCAGACGUACACCUCUCCCUUUUCCCAGCGUGCUUUGCUGAGGGUCAGGACGCUACUGCGGCUGUAGCGGCCGUCCCGCUGGCUCUCUGCGCUGGUCACGACCCCCUCGGUGACCUCUGACCCGUCCAGUGUCCAGCUCACCAGCGCCCCCUGUG